CACCCAGCGCACCCCGGGGCUGAUGAUGGGCUUCCUGACCGGGGAGGACGUCUCCAGGGAGAGCGUGGGUAUCAGUCGUCUCCGCUGGGUCCCUGGGGGGCGAAGCAGGCAAAACACCAGAACCCGCGAAGAGAUCUGGAUGGUGGAGAGGGUCUCAGAGAAAUUGCUAGAAUCCAGCUCAAGAUGUGUUUAACUGGAACUAGAUCAACAAGAAACAUGUGACCCCACUGCAUGACGCCAAGGACGUUGGCAACAGCGAACCCAGCAAAAGCUGCAGCUAUGUUUUGAUGAAGACCUCGCCUAAGUAACAAUGCUAUGAUUCUACAAGGUGAUGAGGCUGCUUGGGCAGCCAGUCAUAAGGCAUUAGUCAAACUUGUUGUUCUGUGCCUGCCUAGACAGGGAUGCUUAUUUUCAUUAUUUUCUCUUGACACAGCCUGAAAGCCCAUCGAAUAAGAACGUGAAUGAUCUUUUUCCCUUAGUGAAAUAUUGUCAGUUUGCCUCCAUAAAGGUCAAAUAUUUUUGCUCUAACCCAAACAAAAUCAAGAGGCAUCAAAUUAUCUCAUUUAGUGGGACAGAGAAAAAGAAGAGAGACAUGAUGGGAACUAAUUAAACUAAGCAGAUCAGUGACUUUUUGCCGAGGCAUUACAUUCAGGUGAAGUUAUCUCCUGCAAAUGACCCCAAACUCUAAUUACUUCCUACCUCUUCUGAGUGUUUGCUCUUCCAUCUUAAACUGACGCAGUGCUUUGCAAUGUAAAUUUCCCAUGAUUAAAUUAGAAUUGCAUGGUGCAAAAUCAUAUGUACCCUG